AGAGUUUGAUCCUGGCUCAGGAUGAACGCUAGCGACAGGCUUAACACAUGCAAGUCGAGGGGCAGCGGAGGUAAAGGCUUGCCUUUACCUGCCGGCGACCGGCGCACGGGUGAGUAACACGUAUGCAACCUGGCCGUCACAGGAGGAUAACCGGGAGAAAUUCCGCCUAAUACUCCAUAACACUUUCCGAGGACAUCCUGGGAAAGUCAAAGGAAUUCGUUCCGGUGACGGAUGGGCAUGCGGCGCAUUAGCUAGUCGGCGGGGUAACGGCCCACCGAGGCGACGAUGCGUAGGGGUUCUGAGAGGAAGGUCCCCCACAUUGGAACUGAGACACGGUCCAAACUCCUACGGGAGGCAGCAGUGAGGAAUAUUGGUCAAUGGGCGGAAGCCUGAACCAGCCAAGUCGCGUGAGGGAAUAAGGCCCUAAGGGUCGUAAACCUCUUUUGCCGGGGAGCAAUGGUUCGCUUGCGAGCGGACAGGGAGAGUACCCGGAGAAAAAGCAUCGGCUAACUCCGUGCCAGCAGCCGCGGUAAUACGGAGGAUGCGAGCGUUAUCCGGAUUUAUUGGGUUUAAAGGGUGCGUAGGCGGACCAUCAAGUCAGCGGUCAAAAGUCGGGGCUCAACCCCGUAAAGCCGUUGAAACUGGCGGUCUUGAGUGAGCGAGAAGCAGGCGGAAUGCGUGGUGUAGCGGUGAAAUGCAUAGAUAUCACGCAGAACCCCGAUUGCGAAGGCAGCCUGCCGGCGCUCAACUGACGCUGAGGCACGAAAGUGCGGGGAUCGAACAGGAUUAGAUACCCUGGUAGUCCGCACAGUAAACGAUGAAUGCUAGCUGUCCGGUCCGAAUGAGGAUUGGGUGGCACAGCGAAAGCGUUAAGCAUUCCACCUGGGGAGUACGCCGGCAACGGUGAAACUCAAAGGAAUUGACGGGGGC
rnacentral:rRNA from 1 species